CUGAAACACGGACCAAGGAGUCUAGAAUACGCGCGAGUCAAAGGGCUGGCUAAACCCUUAGGCGAAACGAAAGUGAAAACACAUAAGUAGGGCCGAUCCGGUUCUCGCGGGGGUUUUGCGGAUUCGUGGAAUUGAUGGAAUGAUCGAUCGUGGUGUGUGCGUGUGCGCGUGGUUUUCCGCUUCGGUAAGAAUUUUUAAAAAGAGAGAAAAUGGAGCGGGACCACCACCACCACCAACCCACUUUCGCCCGUUUCCGCAUUCACUCCCCUUGAUUUGCCUCUCAUUGUAUGGGGACGGCGCAGGCCCGGGGCUCGCCAACACUUCCUUCUCGUC
rnacentral:rRNA from 1 species